AUGUUGACCAGGAAUUUUCUCAUCUUCUGCUCUCUGGCAGCUGUGCUAGUACAAGCUGACCUCGAUACUAAUAGCAAUCAUGCUGCCCAAGCCAUGUCCACAGAUAAGGACUCAACCUCGGAUGAAGCACCAACUGAGAUCAUGAACGCCAUCUCCUCGGACCAGUCUAACCAUGUAAGCCGCACAAGUGUAGAAGUUGGACAAGAUGCUUCUAAACCUAACGGGGUGACUGGACCUGGAGGCACGGCAAACACUGUUGAGGACCGUGAAGAGGAUGAAAGCUCUGAUGAAGGUGUGAGAAUCGUUCCUCCACCUCCUCCUCCUGCUGCUCCACAACAGAAGUCACGGAAGUUAGUUGGGCCAGCAGGUGGUAACCGAAGAAAGGCAGCAGCACCAAAACAGAAGAGGAGAUCACGGCCCUCUCGUCGUCAACCCUGAAACACCACAAAGACACACAAAGGCAAACAUUUAAUUUUAGUGAUUACGUAGAAAAAAAAACAUGUUGAAUCUUAUUACUGUGUAUGCCAUAACAUGGACGUGUACAGAACCGUUCACACAUGAUGAAGCUGUUUUCUGUAUCUUGGGCUGUAAAACAAAGUCAGCAUGACAUGGCAUAUUGUUUACUUUAACACCUGUGGAACAACUCAGUGGUAGGUUCAACACAAACUUAUGGGGCCUUUCUCUGUGAAUAAAAUGUACCAUUGCAUUUACCAUUUAAUGUGAUGACAUGACAACAGGCCCAAAAACACCAGUCUGAGACCAGUUCACGCAUCCAUUGAAAUCCACGACGAGGCAUGCUUUUUGCAGCAUCAUGACUUGACACUGACCUUGAGAGCCAAUGAAACUGCUCUAAAUUCACCAACCUGUUUCAAAAUAGAAAGGACCUCCCUCACAUGAAAAUAAACUCAGCAACAAAAAAAACAUUCUCUCACUGUCAACUGCGUUUAUUUUCAGCAAACUUAACAUGUGUAAAUAUGUGUAUGAACAUAACAUAAACUGAACAAGUUCCACAGACAUGUGACUAACAUAAAUGGAAUAAUGUGUCCCUGAACAAAAUCAAAAGUAACAGUCAGUAUCUGGUGUGGCCACCAGCUGCAUUACGUACUGCAGUGCAUCUCCUCCUCAUGGAGUGCACCAGAUUUGUCAGUUCUUGCUGUGAGAUGUUACCCCACUCUUCCACCAAGGCACCUGCAAGUUCCCAGACAUUUCUGGGGGGAAGGGCCCUAGCCCUCAUCCUCUGAUCCAACAGGUCCCAGACGUGCUCAAUGGGAUUGAGAUCUUGGCUCUUCACUGGCCAUGGCAGAACACUGACAUUCCUGUCUUGCAGGAAAUCUCGCACAGAACGAGCAGUAUGGCUGGUGGCAUUGUCAUGCUGGAGGGUCAUGUCAGGAUGAGCCUGCAGGAAGGGUAUCACAUGAGGGAGGUGUCUUCCCUGUAACACACAGUGUGGAGAUUGUUUGCAAUGACAACAAUCUCAGUCCAAUGAUGCUGUGACACACUACCCCAGACCAUGAUGGACCCUCCACCUCCAAAUCGAUCCCGCUCCAGAGUUCAGACCUUGGUGUAACGCUCAUUCCUUCGACGAUAAAUGCGAACCCGACCAUCACCCCUGGUGAUACAAAACCUUGACUCGUCAGUGAAGACCACUUUUUGCCAGUCCUGUCUGGUCCAGCGACGGUGGGUUUGUGCCCAUGGGUGACGUUGUUGACGGUGAUGUCUGGUCAGGACCUGCCUUACAACAGGUCUACAAGCCCUCAGUCCAGCCUCUCUCAACCUAAUGUGGACAGUCUGAGCACUGAUGGAGGGAUUGUGCGUUCCUGGUGUAACUCGGGCAGUUGUUGUCAUCCUGUACCUGUCCCACAGGUGUGAUGUUCAGAUGUAUUGAUCCUGUGCAGGUGUUGUUACACAUGGUCUGCCACUGCGAGGACGAUCAGCUGUCCGUCCUGUCUCCCUGUAGCGCUGUGUUAGGCGUCUCACAGUACAGACAUUGCAAUGUAUUUCCCUUGCCACAUCUGCAGUCCUAAUUUCUCCUUGCAGCAUGCCUAAGGCACGUUCACGCAGAUGAGCAGGGACCCUGGGCAUCUUUAUUUUGGUGUUUUUCAGUGUCAGUAGAAAGGCCUCUUUAGUGUCCUAAGUUUUCAUACCUGUGACCUUAAUUGCCUACCGUCUGUAAGCUGUUUGUUCAUUAAUUGUUUAUGGUUCAUUGAACAAGCAUUGGAAACAGUGUUUAAACCCUUUACAAUGAAGAUCUGUGAAGUUUCUGGGAUUUUUACAAAUUAUCUUUCAAAGACAGGGUCCUGAAAAAGGGAUGUUUCUUUUUUUGCUGAGUUUACCUCCUUUUCUAAGGGAGCGCACACACUGCACUGAAUGUCGAUGUGCCUUUCAUCUGCUGUUCGUUUACUGCUCGUUCACCGCACGUUUGACUGCCAACAUUUCUACAUGUAGAAUCGGUUUGCACUCGGUUAGCAAAUUACGGCUGGUGGUCAGAGGUGCUAAGUACUCUCGGGGUCAAACGCUACCGGUCUGUCUAUACUAGAUUCUUGCUAUUUUGAUUAUUAGCCAGUUGGUGGAAAUACGGAGUUACAAACUAAGACAAAUAACUGUCCUUAGCUAAGGUGAAAAGACUAGAUAUACUUUAUCAACUCUAUUUUUCAUCAUCCUUUACAGAAAAUUGUUAAAGAAAUCACAGAAUCUCUCUCAGAGUUGAGGACAAUACAGUACAUUUGACUGAUGCUGCCUACCAGAAGGCUGUUAAACUGUAGUCAGUCUUGGCAUAGAUUUAGUGGAUAGCCUAAAAAUAACCCUGCUCUCCAACACAAAGCCAGUGUUUCAAUCCAAAGUGUUUCUUAGUUUUUUCUAAUCCACACUUUUAUACACACAGUAUUUGACACAUUAUGUAUUAAACAUGUUUGAUGAAUAAACAUAUCAAAACAGGUUUACGUGUAAACCUCUGUCGCUUACAUCUCUAAAUAAACUUCUUUGAGCAAAGUGAUAUGUCUACUUGACUGAUUUCCAUUCUUGAACCAUGUCCGAUUGUUAAAAAUGAAUCAAAUUGAGAUUGUAUUCCAACAUAACAAACAGGAUUAAAUAAUGGUGCUUUAUUUACAGUAAAUGGCCUUGAUUAGCUGGCAUUUCAGAAUGCUUUUCUUAUUCUGGUUAACAUGUAAAAUCUUGAUAGAACACCCACAUGUUCUACUUUAAAUCAUUUCUAACUGUUUCAAGGCAGGGUAUCUGGAAAUGAAAAUUAGACAUGCAAAUAUGAGGACCCAAGUACAAUGCUAAUAAUAUUUAAUUAAUUUUAUUACCAUUUUCCAUCUUAUUAUAUACUGUAAGUGGUCUUUUUGGUACAGUUCAUGCAAUUAAGUGCAACCAUAUUUUGUUUACAGUGGGGGUGUGCACACUGCUCUCUGUUUCUGACCUGAAGCUUCCUGUGUUCUGAAUACCAAUCCUGGAGUCACUGCUCUGUUUCUGACCUGAAGCUUCCUGUGUUCUGAAUACCAAUCCUGGAGUCACUGCUCUGUUUCUGACCUGAAGCUUCCUGUGUUCUGAAUACCAAUCCUGGAGUCACUGCUCUGUUUCUGACCUGAAGCUUCCUGUGUUCUGAAUACCAAUCCUGGAGUCACUGCUCUGUUUCUGACCUGAAGCUUCCUGUGUUCUGAAUACCAAUCCUGGAGUCACUGCUCUGUUUCUGACCUGAAGCUUCCUGUGUUCUGAAUACCAAUCCUGGAGUCACUGCUCUGUUUCUGUCCUGAAGCUUCCUGUGUUCUGAAUACCAAUCCUGCAGUCACUGCUCUGUUUCUGACCUGAAGCUUCCUGUGUUCUGAAUACCAAUCCUGGAGUCACUGCUCUGUUUCUGACCUGAAGCUUCCUGUGUUCUGAAUACCAAUCCUGGAGUCACUGCUCUGUUUCUGACCUGAAGCUUCCUGUGUUCUGAAUACCAAUCCUGGAGUCACUGCUCUGUUUCUGACCUGAAGCUUCCUGUGUUCUGAAUACCAAUCCUGCAGUCACUGCUCUGUUUCUGACCUGAAGCUUCCUGUGUUCUGAAUACCAAUCCUGGAGUCACUGCUCUGUUUCUGACCUGAAGCUUCCUGUGUUCUGAAUACCAAUCCUGCAGUCACUGCUCUGUUUCUGACCUGAAGCUUCCUGUGUUCUGAAUACCAAUCCUGCAGUCACUGCUCUGUUUAUGACCUGAAGCUUCCUGUGUUCUGAAUACCAAUCCUGCAGUCACUGCUCUGUUUAUGACCUGAAGCUUCCUGUGUUCUGAAUACCAAUCCUGCAGUCACUGCUCUGUUUAUGACCUGAAGCUUCCUGUGUUCUGAAUACCAAUCCUGGAGUCUGCCAAUAUGAGUCUUGAGCUUUUCUCCAGCGUACUACUACUCUGGCAUGCACUGUUUUAACAUUUCCAAACUACCUAGUGUAUAUAUUUGACAUUAGUGACCCCAUUACCUGUGUGACUGCACAGAAAGUGGGUAACCCUACUCGAGGUUGCUUCUAGUGUAAUGGGAUUUUUCAGCAACCUGAAAUAAAGUCUGACUUUUAAUCCCCACACUGAGCCAUCAGAGUUAUGAACCACCAAUACAACAACAGCAUUACCUGUUCUAUUCCCUCCAUAAAGGUCAAGCCAUUCUCAGUCACACACUGAAGCUGAUACUCACCCGCUACUGGACACCCCUGACUGUUUCCCUGUGACGUCUGCAGUCCGAUAUGUUCAACUUCUGGUGCCGGCAUGAGCCCUUUUCGGAUGGAUAAGCCCCUGGAUCCGGCCCCUCCUCAGAGAGGGGCAACCAGGGUCUACUUUCUCUCUCAGCCGAAUCCCACACCACCAUGCAAGAAGGUUUAAGAGGACAAGCCUCCAAGCCUAUCUUAUGAGGCACUAAGACUACCUCAACUCCCCAUCCUUCACUCCAUCCUCCCAGAUCUUAUAUUUUCUUUGAGGGGUUUGACUUCUAAAGUGACACACAAACACACACCGGCAGGACAAAACAACACUCAGCCCGGUUCCUCCAGAUUCUGUCGACCUUUUAUGGGUCACUGGUCUCCGGUGUCACCUUCCUUUGCUGGGUUUCCCCCCUCUUCGCUGCGACC
rnacentral:lncRNA from 1 species